rnacentral:rRNA from 1 species
AUUGAACGCUGGCGGCAGGCUUAACACAUGCAAGUCGAGCGGGGUGAUGGUGCUUGCACUAUCACUUAGCGGCGGACGGGUGAGUAAUGCUUAGGAAUCUGCCUAUUAGUGGGGGACAACAUCUCGAAAGGGAUGCUAAUACCGCAUACGUCCUACGGGAGAAAGCAGGGGAUCACUUGUGACCUUGCGCUAAUAGAUGAGCCUAAGUCGGAUUAGCUAGUUGGUGGGGUAAAGGCCUACCAAGGCGACGAUCUGUAGCGGGUCUGAGAGGAUGAUCCGCCACACUGGGACUGAGACACGGCCCAGACUCCUACGGGAGGCAGCAGUGGGGAAUAUUGGACAAUGGGGGGAACCCUGAUCCAGCCAUGCCGCGUGUGUGAAGAAGGCCUUAUGGUUGUAAAGCACAUUAAGCGAGGAGGAGGCUCUUUUGGUUAAUACCCAAGAUGAGUGGACGUUACUCGCAGAAUAAGCACCGGCUAACUCUGUGCCAGCAGUCGCGGUAA